AAGGCGCUUCCCUUCCUUGACUUUUUGGGUCUGGCUCCCGUUUUGAUUUCAGCCAGAGGCACCACAGAUAAUUACAAAACCAUGUAAGGCUCCUCAAACUCAAAAUAAUCUGAAUUGACUUCUUCUGCCAGUCUUGCUUUUUCUUCUUUAAAGUUAACUGGGAAAAUAAUUUGUGAUCUACAGAGCCACUAAAGCAACAAACCAGUUACUCUGUAUUCCUUCACUUCACUAGACUCAUAUAGCUAAGGACGUGGUGGCUCUGCUGUGAUGAACCUUCACCUCCCACAGAGAAUGCAUUCCCAGCUCAAUGGCAUCUCCUCAGAUUGGUUCUCAUAUAAGUUGGAUCAUAGCGCCUACUAUUUGUAACUUGCUUCUCUACUUUCCAGUAUAUCUUGGAGAGAGUUGUGAAUCAGCACACACUAAGCUACCUCAUUCUUCAUGGCUUUAUACUAUUUUGUUGUAUGAUUGUGUGUCAUAAUGUAUUUAAUUGUUGAUGGGCAUGCAGGCUGUUUUCAUUCUUUUAGCUAGUAAAAACCCAUAUAUGACUUCUUAGAGGCCCUUGAUUGUUUUGUUUCUACAUUGUGAGAUUAUAAAUUGACAAUAAAAGGUUAAAGGUAUUUACAUGAUUUUCUUCACAUAUCUGACUUUUAAUGAACUAUUUUAGGUUACCAUGACUUUCAUAUAGUACUUCAGUGUAAUACUAAUAAUCUG
rnacentral:lncRNA from 1 species